GUAAACCAGUUGAAAGGCCACAGGGGCCCAUUGUUGAUCUCAUGCUUUCAAAAUAUGGCCCUGAUAGUUUAAAACAUUUACAAGAAUGGUGAUGAGAGGGUCAUCAAGUACGGCACAGAUACAGAUACUAGACAUUUUAUAUUAUUUUAAUUCUGCUAUUUUAUACUAUUUUAAGCCCGUACAUACAUAUAUGAGUGGAUUACAGAUACAUAUUGCCUUUUGGUCAAAUAUUUAUUGACACACUUCACUCAACUUCUUGGAAAACAUGUAAUCAAACAAAUGUUUAUGUCCCUUUGCAUCUACUACCAAAUCAGCUUCUGACAUCCCAUUGGUUCACAUUGAUCCCUUACUGUGUUAAGUCCCGCCUCCAACAUCCUGUUUAAUCAGGUGAUAGAUCACAAGCUUGCACUUCACUGCAAUUGAAAGGCCAUCAAACAUUGCUAAACCAUAUUCACCCUGCAAGUGACAUUAAGUUACUGCAGGUCCACUUGUUUCCUGUACAGUCGAGUAGAACAACGCAAGUGAGGACGUGUACGUUUAUGUGAACUCAACAAGCUCCUUCACUGAGAACAUUGAUUUUGCCAACCUGAUCUGGAGGCUUUCCCAGUGAUGUGUUUCAGUUUCAACAGUUACACCUGUUGAUGAUUUCAAAAUGGUCAAAGAAUUGAUUCCAGACAUUGAAAUCCUCCCAGUUCUUUGCAACUUUCAACAUCUCAGAGACGGACUGGAAAGUGAUUUCACCUGUGGAAUUUCAAGUCAGCUCUAAAGACAUUUUGUUAGAGAUAUGUGACGGUUUUGACUUGAUCGACAACAGAAAUAGGAUUAAAAUCCAGUGUCUGUACAUUCUGAUGGUGAGACAGUUCACCUGGACCUCCACCUGGACUACAGAAAGAUGAACUCUGGGCUCCAUCUGCUCACCAGUCCACCUCUGGAAUGCUCUUCUGGUCCCGUCGAGCUCUUGGCCUCGUCCUUCCCGACUGAUGAUCAGCCAGACAACAUUACCUCCCGACCAAUCAGGCGCCUGGAUCCAUACCUCAUCCCACAGGCAAACACAACAGUUAUAAACCUUCUUCAGCAAACACACGACCAUGUCAACCUGAGGAUGUUGAUGUUUGAUGUAUUCCUCUACAAGCUGCUUGUCUUGGUGGCUACACUCACCUGGUGAGGCUUGGCUGAUUUGUAAUUCAUCCUAAAUAAAUAUAUAAAUCUUAUAAGGCCUAAUAAAGUUAGUUAUCAUCUAAAAGAAAGUGAGAGUU
rnacentral:lncRNA from 1 species